rnacentral:rRNA from 1 species
GUGCCAGCAGCCGCGGUAAUACGGAGGGGGUUAGCGUUGUUCGGAAUUACUGGGCGUAAAGCGCGCGUAGGCGGGCAUUCAAGUCGGGGGUGAAAUCCCGGGGCUCAACCCCGGAACUGCCUUCGAUACUGGAUGCCUGGAGUUCGAGAGAGGUGAGUGGAAUUCCGAGUGUAGAGGUGAAAUUCGUAGAUAUUCGGAGGAACACCAGUGGCGAAGGCGGCUCACUGGCUCGAUACUGACGCUGAGGCGCGAAAGCGUGGGGAGCAAACAGGAUUAGAUACCCGUGUAGUCC